AGCAGCCAGGCUCACUGUGUGCUCCUCAGCCCACCCCGAGCCCUGGCCCUGUGCAGACAGGAAAAGGAGGCUCACAGGAAUAAGGGGAUAUAAAAAUGUCCUCAUCUCUAACCAAGCAAAAGGCCUGCAGCAGCAACUGCAAGCAGAAGCAAGGUGAAAAUAAGAACUCCUGGAGUGUGCAGUCACAUGAAUUUUCUCACCCAAACCUUAGGAGCAGUGAGCUUCUCUUCAGAGUUGCUUUUGGAAAGAAUGAAAGCACUUGACACUUUGGAACUUUGACUCAUUCAAAGGGGUCUUUUCUUCUGUGGUUGCAUGUGUCUUUAGCAAGGACAGCUCUGGAUGCUGGGUGGACCCUGCUUGGAUUAAUGACAGAUGGAGCAGCUGAGGUUGCAGUGAUGAAGCACAUCCACACUCUCCUCCUUCCCUCCCUCCCAGCUUCACCCUCCUCUGUAAAUCAAGCAAGAGACAAACCAGAUCCCCUCUGCCUUUUGUUAUCAGUGCCGUGGAUAAUCCCCCCCUGGUAACAAUCCAUGUGGCCAAUAAUCAAUCCAAGGGAGGGGAUUAGCAGCAGUGAGAAAAUGCACCGUGACCAAACACUUCUCCUUGCACCCUUGCUGCUGCUCAGAAAAUCGUCGGGACAAGCACCUUCUCAGGCUAAUUGCUGACAAAUGUGAGAUAAACAGCCUGCUAUCACAACCAGCUCCCCUCCCUCUUUAAGGGAAGGGGUACAAUUAAAGCCUUCAGCAUUACACAGAUCGUGACAUCCGUUUAUUGUUCUUGCUCCGCACAAAUGGAGCUUUAUCUCGUUUCAUACACCAGAUGCUAUUACGAAACACUCACAUUUGGGGAAGAGAGGCAGGCCUGGGAAAUUCUGGGCCAAGAAGUUGCAGGAAGGGAAAGAAAUGCCUCGAUUCAUCUGCAGGCUGGCAGGUUCUGUGGCAGAAGGUGUGGGACGAGUCCGGGUUGCUGGGCUUGGAGACACAACAACCCAAAGAACAAAUACCCCUGUAUUUCUCUCCAUAAAUUGCUGGAAGAGCUGUGCUGUGCUUGGAAAUAAAACAUGUGAGGAGAGAGAAAAAACCGUAUUGAGUGCAACCAGAAGCUCGCUCAGACUCUCAUCAGAGAAUUUUUCUUCAGUGGGCAUUGCCCAUUGUGGUAAGAGGUGAAUUCUCCAAGUUAGUAAGGAUGAGUCAAAGGUGAAAUCCUGAUGUAAACUGUUUGAACAAAGACCAGGGAUAUUCUCCCUGCCAUCCAGCUGCUCCUGUGGCUGGCAGCCCUGGAUUUGUCACUGUUUAUUGUGCACUGAGAGGGUCUCAGCCCUUGGCCAAGCUCCCCUCAGCAGCCCUGGGCUGUGCAGAAACCCCUCCAGUGCCAGGAUAUCUCACAGAUGGACCAGAACUCCAACCUUUAAGGUUCCUCCCUGCCCAAAGCUUUCUGUGAUUCUGUGUCUCCUGUGGACAAGCCACCAGGCUGUGAAGAAGAGUGAAAAGUGGGAUUCACCACUUCUUGGCUAUGCUAGCAACAAUUAAACCAAGCAGUUAAUUCUUGCAUCUCUGAACUACUCCAUCAGGAAUUAUACCCUUAUUUCACACAGCCUGACUCAUCAUUGCACUUAAUUUCAUGUGUUACUAAUCAUUUCAUGUACUACUAAUCUAAAUUACUAAUUUAGAAACCUGGUACCUCUAAUUUCCUUCUAUUUCCAUAAUUUCCGCUUUGUGAUAGCAAGAAGAAAAGUGGAUAAAUAUUAUUGAGCAGACCCAUGACAAAGGAAACAGAAACCUUGUAAUGCCUUUUGCAGACUUCAUGUUCUGCCUCCUGCCUUGCCUCCUCCACUCCCAGCACAGAGGAGCCCUCAGCAAAGCAGAUGGGUUCAUCAUUUCUAAGUCUGGCAACCCAUUUCCAUCCCUUCUACAUCAGUUUAUUAAAAUAAUGCAACAUAUUUAGUAUCUGAGUGUACUUUUUAAUGUGCAUAUGCUCUGCUCAUGCACCAAAAAAUGCUGCCUUGUAUCUGUACUUUACACCAACCCAGCAGGCUUAUGUUUGCUAAGAGAAGGGCAUUUAAAAUUUAACCCUCGUUUGACUUCAGAUGGGGAUAAAUCUCCUGUUUUAUAGCAACACUUGGAAUACCCUUACAGUAAAUUCUUACAACUAAAACCCUUAUGAUGCUGUGACUGAUGGAGCUCAGAGCACAGACUCCCAAAAUCAAUUAAAAACACUUCUGAGGGGGUCGUAGGCAAAGAGGAGGUGUCCCCAAGAGAUGCUUUAAGGUUCCCAUGCACUCUGAACACAACCAUGAUGCAGGGCUCACGAUGGAAGAUCCCACAUGUGUCUCAUGCCGCCCUUGUAUCCAGUCAGGUCAUGUAUUUUCUAUUGAUCAACCUCAAAAACAUGGUAGAAAGUCAGAGAGGUCUCUGGGAGGGACUUUUCUGCCUGUUCCAGUCAGAAGUCUUGCGAUGAACAGUUCGGUUCUACUUAAUUCCCCUUCUCAAAGUGACUCUGGCAUGACUGAUGGGAGAAAAACGGAGAUUUUAGUAAAAACAUCAUCUUGCCCCAUCCCUAGCAGUGUCCAAGGCUGGUUUAGUGUAAGGUGUCCAUGCCCAAGGCAGGGCUGGAAUGGGAUGAGUUUUAAUGUUUCUCCCAACCUAAACCUUUCCAUGCCUGUGAUCUUCUCUAGGAAGAGGCAGACCAUUAAAACACCUCUGUGUCUUCCAGCUGUCUGUGAUUCCCUGGAGAAUAUUGUCUCUGGUUUGCCUUAAACACUCAGAGUGAAGACAAAUCCACCAUCUCUUGGGUAGUUGUUUCACAUGUUUCAGUUGAUUCAGUGAAUUUUUUCUUUUGACUACCCCAAGAUAUGCUCAGGCCCUGUUUGA